UCAAAAUGUUAUAUUUAAACUCCGGGUUAUUGUGUUAUUGGUAUAUAACUGUUUCUUCAAAAAUGAGUUUCAUAUAUUAUUUUGAAAAAUUCUAAAUGAUUAUUAUGUGAAUAUAUGUGUUAUGUGAUUAAGUGAUACUGGUGGAAUUGUUCGAUAAUUAAUUAUAGUUAAUUAUGAAUAUUGUGUGAUUAUAUUCUUGAGAUUCGGUGUAUUUUAUUUCUAUUGGAUUGUUGAGUUGUGUUAUCAAUUCCCAUUUGUUAUGGGUUUUAUACUGAUUGAAUUAUAUAAAAUGGUGUAUUGCAUAUAAAAUCAUUUUUUAUCACUUUAUAAUUUCAUUAAAUAUUUUUAGAGAUUUAUAAAAUUCAUAAAAUGAUAUUUCGAUAAUUAUUCAGUUCUAAAUGAUUUUCAGUGUAGUUUCAAGUGGGGUGUUUCUGUUAAUUUCAAAAAUGAUCCAAAAAUCGUGGAAAUCAUAUUUUAUUAGUUUUUAAUUAUGUUGAGAUUUUAAAAAUUAUUUUGGUAUUUAUCUGGAUCAUUUUUAUCUGUGAUUUUGUUCGCUAAUCUGUCAAAUUCAGUCUGAGACCAAGCUGGCAGGGGUACGUGUCAAUUGCUUUGAUACGUGUCUUGCGUGAAAUCAGUUUUUAUAAACUGAUUUACUUUCUUUUCUUUUACAAUCUCUCACCGCCUCUUCUCUCUCCUAAAAUCUCUCCACCGUCUCUCUCUUUCUCUCUAAUCUCUCUCUGCACACCCAUCUCCCCCAAAUCUCUCGCUCUCUCCUGCUCCCUCGCACUCUCCUUGCCCUCUCUCUCUCCCGGGUGUCGCUGCAGUGUUCUUAGCCACCGCUGCUCUGUUUUCCGGCCGCCCAUCGCCGCUCGUGCUCCGAUUCCGGCACCACCAGCUCGUCCCCUCUCUUUUCCCCUCAUUCCCCUGCCUCCCUUUGCUUUGCUGCUGUGCCUGUGCAUCUAGUCGACUGGGAUGUUCAGAAAUAGUGAAUAGUAUCGUGGAGCGAGGCUGGCAUAAACCAAUGAAGUGAAGCUGUGCUAUGGAUACUCUUUUAAGUCUGUCAUAGACUAAGCAGAAGGGAAUAGUUCAGCAGAUAGUACUAUUAGAAAUCUGAGUUAGACACUGGAGUUAAGCUAGGGAUUGAGAUGUCACCUGUAUAAGCUGCGCGUAAGAUUGAUGCUAGGCGAGAUUGCCAGGGAGAUGUUUACAAGAGUAGUUCUAGUUAGAAUUGUUCUAUUUCAGUUCAGUUGUAAAUAGACUUAUUUAUUUGGUUAUCAGUUACUCUUCUUAUCGAGGUUUAACUGAUAAUGUAGUUUAAGUUGUAAUAAGAUUUUAAGUUUUGGUUUCUGAUUUCAGUACUGUAACCUAUUAGCGAUCCUGUUUUUAGGGGGGUCAAAGUGAUUUUGAUUUAAAUCUCUUUUAAAAUUUCCAGAUUUUGAAAUAUCUGUUUUACCUUCUUCCGCAAAUAUAGGUUUUUAAAUGAUUUUGUUUUAGUGGCACCAAAUCCAGACCCCCGGAUUUGAGGGCUGUCACAGUUGGUAUCAGAGCCAGGUUAUAAGUUAUUGAAAUCAGAAUGUAGGUUGUAUUAGGAUUGUGUUUAGUGGGACCUCAACUAGAGAUAAGUCGAGACUAUUUGGUAUAGUCUUUGUUGAUAGAAUUGAGGUAGAUAAUGGAGCAUUGAUUUCAAGUAAUCAUUUGGGAUAUCCUAGUUUCUAAUUCGAGAACUAGUGAGUUGGAUUUCAGGGACAUGAUGGAACCUUUAGUUUUCAAUCUUUUUGAACUUGAGUUUGACUUUCUGAGUAACCAGAGGCAGCUAGACUUGUGUAUUGACCUAUCUAGUCUUGAGUGUUCCUUGUCAUCUCUACCACUUUUUGAGUAUUUGUUCGAGGGUCAUCUAUUCUUAUGAAGUCAUAUAGAAGGAAUAUGAGAUUUGAUGGAUCAUUGCGAGAAGCCAGGUGUAUAGUUCUUGAUAUGAGAAUUAUAUAGGAGUGGUAGGCUACUCGAGAUAGUAUUAUGAGUAGGUUAGAAUGCCAACGCUCUACACUGCUGAUUGUCAAAGCUGGAUACGACUUCUGUCAGUACCAAGCUCGACAGGACUUCUACCUAACGUGGAUAUUGGUGACGGGAUCUACGAAGGAGAAUACAAGUUAACAAUAAUAUUCAUCAUAGAAUCGAAACGAAUCGUCAGAAGAAUCGAUAGCGAAGACAUAUGUGAUAGCCUUGGCAAUACCAUCCUCAUUAUUGAUUCUAUUGAUCAUUUUCACAGUCAGUGAAUUGUUUUAAUAUCUCUUCUAUUGAAACAUUCAUGAAGUCCUUUUUGUCAAAAAUUUGUAUCUUUGGAAGCUAUUCGAUUUCAACUCUUAAGGUUCGUAUUAAAGAUUCAUUUCUCAAAAAUCAAUCAUUGUUGGUUGAUUUUGAAAUUUUCAUAUUUUCCAUUCUAACUGAGGUGAACAACCCUACUAUAGGGGACACAAGGACUAUCUGUCUGUGUGAUAGAGGUUUGAUGGGACGCCAUCACUUGUGUGUGUUGUGAUUACAAGAAGGAUAACAACCUUUAGUAGUGUCUAUAUGGGCACGCAACACUAAGUUCGUUGGAUCAUAUUUGAUCUCUCAGUCACUUGUUUAUUCAGAUGAAACCUAUUUUGAAAACAUUUUUGUCCUAUAGCCAAAUUCUCAAAGAUUUAUUCCGGAAAGUCAAUUCUGCAUUUGCGAAAAUUUUAAGAUUCCGAUUCCUUUAAAGUUGAGGUAUGCCAAGGAUUAAUCAAUAGUGGAUGGCGGUAUGGUAUUGCGUCGCGUGUAUGUUUUAGUUCUCUUCGCGGAUUCUGAGGACAGAAUCUUUAUAAGGGGGGUAGAAUGUAAUAUCCCAGAUUUUUAAUUCAGAUUUGAUUAUUAUAGAUCCAAUUUUUUUUUUUUUUUUUUUAAAUGUUAUGGUUGUCCUUAAUUGAAUAUUGUGUGAUGGUCUAUAUUUGUUUUGUGGAUUAGUAGAUUACGCGUCCUCCUUCUUUCUUUGAUUCCGAGGACGGAAUCCGUUUAAGGAGGGUAGAUUGUAAUGACCCGGAUUUUUAAAAUCUAUUUAUUAUUAUGAAAGUGAUUUUGUUCAAGAAAGGGAAUGAGAUUUGAUAUUUUAUUCCAUUUUAAUUAAAUCAAAAUGUUAUAUUUAAACUCCGGGUUAUUGUGUUAUUGGUAUAUAACUGUUUCUUCAAAAAUGAGUUUCAUAUAUUAUUUUGAAAAAUUCUAAAUGAUUAUUAUGUGAAUAUAUGUGUUAUGUGAUUAAGUGAUACUGGUGGAAUUGUUCGAUAAUUAAUUAUAGUUAAUUAUGAAUAUUGUGUGAUUAUAUUCUUGAGAUUCGGUGUAUUUUAUUUCUAUUGGAUUGUUGAGUUGUGUUAUCAAUUCCCAUUUGUUAUGGGUUUUAUACUGAUUGAAUUAUAUAAAAUGGUGUAUUGCAUAUAAAAUCAUUUUUUAUCACUUUAUAAUUUCAUUAAAUAUUUUUAGAGAUUUAUAAAAUUCAUAAAAUGAUAUUUCGAUAAUUAUUCAGUUCUAAAUGAUUUUCAGUGUAGUUUCAAGUGGGGUGUUUCUGUUAAUUUCAAAAAUGAUCCAAAAAUCGUGGAAAUCAUAUUUUAUUAGUUUUUAAUUAUGUUGAGAUUUUAAAAAUUAUUUUGGUAUUUAUCUGGAUCAUUUUUAUCUGUGAUUUUGUUCGCUAAUCUGUCAAAUUCAGUCUGAGACCAAGCUGGCAGGGGUACGUGUCAAUUGCUUUGAUACGUGUCUUGCGUGAAAUCAGUUUUUAUAAACUGAUUUACUUUCUUUUCUUUUACAAUCUCUCACCGCCUCUUCUCUCUCCUAAAAUCUCUCCACCGUCUCUCUCUUUCUCUCUAAUCUCUCUCUGCACACCCAUCUCCCCCAAAUCUCUCGCUCUCUCCUGCUCCCUCGCACUCUCCUUGCCCUCUCUCUCUCCCGGGUGUCGCUGCAGUGUUCUUAGCCACCGCUGCUCUGUUUUCCGGCCGCCCAUCGCCGCUCGUGCUCCGAUUCCGGCACCACCAGCUCGUCCCCUCUCUUUUCCCCUCAUUCCCCUGCCUCCCUUUGCUUUGCUGCUGUGCCUGUGCAUCUAGUCGACUGGGAUGUUCAGAAAUAGUGAAUAGUAUCGUGGAGCGAGGCUGGCAUAAACCAAUGAAGUGAAGCUGUGCUAUGGAUACUCUUUUAAGUCUGUCAUAGACUAAGCAGAAGGGAAUAGUUCAGCAGAUAGUACUAUUAGAAAUCUGAGUUAGACACUGGAGUUAAGCUAGGGAUUGAGAUGUCACCUGUAUAAGCUGCGCGUAAGAUUGAUGCUAGGCGAGAUUGCCAGGGAGAUGUUUACAAGAGUAGUUCUAGUUAGAAUUGUUCUAUUUCAGUUCAGUUGUAAAUAGACUUAUUUAUUUGGUUAUCAGUUACUCUUCUUAUCGAGGUUUAACUGAUAAUGUAGUUUAAGUUGUAAUAAGAUUUUAAGUUUUGGUUUCUGAUUUCAGUACUGUAACCUAUUAGCGAUCCUGUUUUUAGGGGGGUCAAAGUGAUUUUGAUUUAAAUCUCUUUUAAAAUUUCCAGAUUUUGAAAUAUCUGUUUUACCUUCUUCCGCAAA